rnacentral:rRNA from 1 species
AGAGUUUGAUCCUGGCUCAGAACGAACGCUGGCGGCAGGCUUAACACAUGCAAGUCGAACGCACCGCAAGGUGAGUGGCAGACGGGUGAGUAACGCGUGGGAACGUGCCCUUCAGUUCGGGAUAACCCAGGGAAACUUGGGCUAAUACCGGAUACGCCCUUUGGGGGAAAGAUUGAUCGCUGAAGGAUCGGCCCGCGUCUGAUUAGCUAGUUGGUGGGGUGAUGGCUCACCAAGGCGACGAUCAGUAGCUGGUCUGAGAGGAUGAUCAGCCACACUGGGACUGAGACACGGCCCAGACUCCUACGGGAGGCAGCAGUGGGGAAUAUUGGACAAUGGGCGCAAGCCUGAUCCAGCCAUGCCGCGUGAGUGAUGAAGGCCCUAGGGUUGUAAAGCUCUUUCGCACGCGACGAUAAUGACGGUAGCGUGAGAAGAAGCCCCGGCUAACUUCGUGCCAGCAGCCGCGGUAAUACGAAGGGGGCUAGCGUUGCUCGGAAUCACUGGGCGUAAAGGGCGCGUAGGCGGCCGAUCAAGUCGGGGGUGAAAGCCUGUGGCUCAACCACAGAAUGGCCUUCGAUACUGGUUGGCUCGAGACCGGAAGAGGUGAGUGGAACUGCGAGUGUAGAGGUGAAAUUCGUAGAUAUUCGCAAGAACACCAGUGGCGAAGGCGGCUCACUGGUCCGGUUCUGACGCUGAGGCGCGAAAGCGUGGGGAGCAAACAGGAUUAGAUACCCUAGUAGUCC